CGCCUCUCAGGCUCCGCCUCUUCCCCUUCCCUUCUCUCCCACCCUGCCGGCAGUGGCGGCGGAUCGGCUCUUCUCUCGCGGUCGAGUCCGGUCGGGCUGCCUGGCACCUGCAUAGCAAAACGUUCCGCCGCCCCCGGGUUUCUUAGCCUGCUCAGCAGAGCAAACAAAACUUUCAAGAGGCCCAUUAUCUGCUGUUCCCUCCCAAAGCUUGGAUAGUCUUAAAUUCCACUUUUUUUUUUCAACCUCAAAUUGUUGGAAAAAUCGGUAUAUGCCCACUGUCUUCAGUACACUCGUUUCGGUAGCGGGUUUUUUUAUCACGUUCUUUCACGUGUUUUUUUUUAAUCGCGUUCUACCCACCGCGUAGGUUGAAAAUAAAAUGCUUUCUUCCACCAGAGAAAUUUUAUCGUACCUAUGUACAUGUUACAAUUAAUAUAAUGCAAAACAAACGACUUAAUGUAUACAUGGAAGCGGCUAACCUGAAUAAUUGCAUUUGUUUUGCUGAUAAAUAGCAGUGGAAUUCACCCAAAAAUAUUCAGGCAAUUCUGGAAAGAAAAUAUGCACCAUAUGCCCAGCCAAUCUUAGCUAGUAUUUGAAGAUACAAGAAGACUGGCAAAUCACGUCCAAAAACACCCAAGAAUACCAUACUUUACCAGGAGUAAAAACUGACUUGGACACAUUCUCAAAGCCAUGUGGAUACUUACUGCAGUAUUGCUUUUGUAUUCAAUAUCCGAAAUUGUUGAACUUAAUUUAGAAGAACCACUUUCAACCUAGCAAACUUCUCAUGAUUCUCAGCCAUUCUGAGUGAUGAUUGAUAAAGAAUAGCUGAAGCUGUUUUAACUACUUCCCCAUAAGUCAUAAGCAGUUUAAGAGCUCCACCACUUUCCUGUAUUUGGAGAGGAACUCAGCAUGUAAAAAAAAAUUAUUUGAGAAAAUAAGAUAAAGUUCAGCCUGGGGAUAAAUGCUGUUCUAGCUAUUAACGCC